rnacentral:rRNA from 1 species
AACGAACGCUGGCGGCAGGCCUAACACAUGCAAGUCGAACGCCCGUAGCAAUACGGGAGUGGCAGACGGGUGAGUAACGCGUGGGAACGUGCCCUUCGGUUCGGAAUAACUCAGGGAAACUUGAGCUAAUACCGGAUACGUCCGUAAGGAGAAAGAUUUAUUGCCGAAGGAUCGGCCCGCGUCGGAUUAGCUAGUUGGUGGGGUAAUGGCCCACCAAGGCGACGAUCCGUAGCUGGUCUGAGAGGANCAUCAGCCACACUGGGACUGAGACACGGCCCAGACUCCUACGGGAGGCAGCAGUGGGGAAUAUUGGACAAUGGGCGAAAGCCUGACGCAGCGACGCCGCGUGAGGGAUGACGGCCUCGUU